rnacentral:rRNA from 1 species
GGGGGGGGGGGGGGGGGGGGCGGGGGGGGGGGGGGCGGGGGGGGGGGCGGGAGGGUGGGUUCUGGGAUGUUGGGGGCGGGCGGGGGGGGCGGACGUGGGGAACCUCCCUAUGCGACUGGGGUAACUUCUGGAACCCGUAGCUAAGACCGGAUACUAUUUGGAACCGCCUGGUUCAAACGUGCAGGACCGACUUGCUUUCACUUCUGGAUGGAUCCUCGCUGCACUAGCUAGUUGGUAAGGUAACGACUUACCCAGUCAACGAUGCAUAGCCGACCUGAGAGGGUGAUCGGACACACUAGAACUGAGACACGGACCAGACUACUACGGGAGGCAGCAGUAGGUAAUCUUACGCAAUGGGCGAAAGCAUGACGGAGCAACGCCGCGAGAGUGAUGAAGGUCUUCGGAUCGUAAAACUAUGUUAUUAGGGAAGAACAUAUGUGUAAGUAACUGUGCACAUCUUGACGGUACCUAAUCAGAAAGCCACGGCUAACUACGUG